AUUUAUUCUCUAAUUGCUUCUGUAAAGCACUGUACAUAAAGGGUAGUGUUGAUAUUGCAUGGGAUAAGUUAGUUAGAAUAUUCUUUGCUUGUUGUAUAUAUUUGAACGAGCUACAUCAUUCACAAUAUA